CCUACGAGUGGCAGCAGUGGGGAAUAUUUGGCAAUGGGCGCAAGCCUGACCCAGCAACGCCGCGUGAAGGAAGAAGGCUUUCGGGUUGUAAACUUCUUUUCUCAGGGACGAAGCAAGUGACGGUACCUGAGGAAUAAGCCACGGCUCACUACGUGCCAGCAGCCGCGGUAAUACGUAGGUGGCAAGCGUUAUCCGGAUUUACUGGGUGUAAAGGGCGUGUAGGCGGGACUGCAAGUCAGAUGUGAAAGCCACGGGCUCAACCUGGGGCCUGCAUUUGAAACUGUAGUUCUGGAGUACUGGAGAGGCAGACGGAAUUCCGAGUGUAGCGGUGAAAUGCGUAGAUAGUAGGAGGAACACCAGUGGCGAAGGCGGUCUGCUGGACAGCAACUGACGCUGAGGCGCGAAAGCGUGGGGAGCAAACAGGAUUAGAUACCCGAGUAGUC
rnacentral:rRNA from 1 species